rnacentral:rRNA from 1 species
GAUGAACGCUGGCGGCGUGCCUAAUACAUGCAAGUCGAGCGAACAGACGAGGAGCUUGCUCCUCUGACGUUAGCGGCGGACGGGUGAGUAACACGUGGAUAACCUACCUAUAAGACUGGGAUAACUUCGGGAAACCGGAGCUAAUACCGGAUAAUAUAUUGAACCGCAUGGUUCAAUAGUGAAAGACGGUUUUGCUGUCACUUAUAGAUGGAUCCGCGCCGCAUUAGCUAGUUGGUAAGGUAACGGCUUACCAAGGCGACGAUGCGUAGCCGACCUGAGAGGGUGAUCGGCCAACCGGGAACUGAGACACGGUCCAGACUCCUACGGGAGGCAGCAGGAGGGAAUCUUCCGCAAUGGGCGAAAGCCUGACGGAGAAACGCCGGGGGAGUGAUGAAGGGCUUCGGAUCGUAAAACUCUGUUAUUAGGGAAGAAAAAAUGUGAAAGUAAAUAUGCCGGUUUUGACGGUACCAAAUAAAAAAGCCCCGGCUAACUACGU